rnacentral:rRNA from 1 species
AUCUUCCGCAAUGGACGAAAGUCUGACGGAGCAACGCCGCGUUAGUGAUGAAGGUUUUCGGAUCGUAAAGCUCUGUUGUUAGGGAAGAACAAGUACCGUUCGAAUAGGGCGGUACCUUGACGGUUCCUAACCAGAAAGCAACGGCUAACUACGGGCCAGAAGCCGCGGUAAUACGUAGGUGGCAAGCGUUGUCCGGGAUUAUUGGGCGUAAAGGGCUCGCAGGCGGUUUCUUAAGUCUGAUGUGAAAGCCCCCGGCUCAACCGGAGAGGGUCAUUGGAAACUGGGGAACUUGAGUGCAGAAGAGGAGAGUGGAAUUCCACGUGUAGCGGUGAAAUGCGUAGAGAUGUGGAGGAACACCAGUGGCGAAGGCGACUCUCUGGUCUGUAACUGACGCUGAGGAGCGAAAGCGUGGGGAGCGAACAG